GACAGAGGAUGCAAGCGUUAUCCGGAAUGAUUGGGCGUAAAGCGUCUGUAGGUGGCUUUUUAAGUCCGCCGUCAAAUCCCAGGGCUCAACCCUGGACAGGCGGUGGAAACUACCAAGCUGGAGUACGGUAGGGGCAGAGGGAAUUUCCGGUGGAGCGGUGAGAUGCGUAGAUAUUGGAAAGACCACCAAUGGCGAAGGCACUCUACUGGGCCAUUACUGACACUGAGAGACGAAAGCUAGGGGAGCAAAUGGG
rnacentral:rRNA from 1 species